CCCUUAGAUGUCCUGGGCUGCACGCGCGCUACAAUGAUGAAUUCAACGAGUUUAUAACCUUGGUUGAAAAGCCUGGGUAAUCUUUUGAACUUUCGUCGUGAUGGGGCUAGACCCUUGCAAUUAUUGGUCUCCAACGAGGAAUUCCUAGUAAACGCAAGUCAUCAGCUUGCAUUGAUUACGUCCCUGCCCUUUGUACACACCGCCCGUCGCACCUACCGAUUGAAUGGUCCGGUGAAAUCUUCGGAUUGAGACUUUGAUUUCUUCACGGAAAACGCUGUUUUAAAAAGUUGAUUAAACCUUACCAUUUAGAGGAAGGUGAAGUCGUAACA
rnacentral:rRNA from 1 species